GCAAUGACCCUGCGCAGCGGAAAGGUGUAAACCCCGCCAGAUCCGGAAGGAAGCAACGGUAAGCAUUUCUUCUGUGUGCCGCAGCACGCUGUUGUCCG
rnacentral:SRP_RNA from 1 species